UUUGUUUAUAUAGAUGUUUUAUUUAUUUAUGUUAAUGUUAAUCGCACCGUCUGGGUUGCAUUUAAAUUUCGUUCCAUGUGCAACGACAAUAAAGAUAAUUCUGAUUCUGAUUCUGAUAGCUGUUGAUGGCCGUCCAUGCUGCCACUUUGCCUAUUGGAAUGUCUCAACUAGCCACCCAGGCCAAAAAAACAUCAAUAUUUUGAAACAAGUUUCCUUGCUAUAAAAUGGAUGGGAAUGUGAGAGAACCCAUAUUUUCUAAAGUUUGUAGCCUCUCACAAUGAAUAUUGAUUAGAUAGGUGUGACACACUUAGUAUCCGCACCCCCCUGUUACUUGUAUACUUGUAAUGACCCAUGUGCCAUAGAUUCAAUUGUCAUUGAUUGAGACCCAUCAAAGUUUCAAACCGUCAAACCGUUACCAUGAGACGGCGCGUUACAGAACUGCAGGGAAGGGUCAAUGCAGAAUUUAACAGAUUUUUUAACGUGGAACAACCAGAGAUGUCAGCCACUGACAGGGGAGUCAAACGGACCUAGAUUCGGUUUUAGCUUGCUCAUGCCAGUUUUUAAGUGUUUAAGUUAAACCCUAUUACUGAUAUAAUGCUCUCGUCUCGACCACUGGUUAGAUGUUUCGCAUUUGCUACUGACAUACACAGUGCAUGUCAGUGCGGUGCAGAUAAUCAGAGCCGGAUUAACCCAAAGGCAAGCCUAUAAUAAUGUUUAUGUAUAACAAUUAAUAUGUAAUGUAUCCAGAUUACAGCAGGACUUCAACCGCGAGGGUGCCAGGCCGCAACGGCGGGUGCCUCGUGGUCGAGGCCAAAGGCCAAUUACCUUUAGGGUUGUGGUGCUGCAUAGCAGCACCAUAACAAGGUAUAGGUCCCGGAACGGUAAUUCCUUUUUUUAUUUGGAUGAACAGAUAUAUGAUUAUGUGCUGUAUCAAAUAACUAAUUUACAUACAUUUGUCAUAAUGCAUUUCUCAAAAUGUAAGAAACGCCAUCAGUAAAUGAAUGUUGUUUUGUCAAUUACAAAUAUUAUUGGCUUAUUAAAAUCAAAAUACCUUUGUUUGCAUCUGUUCACAGAUCACAGACUGCCCUUUGUUUUGGCUGUGCCCCUGGACCUCUCCGCAGAGGACUUUUCUCAAAGUCUGCGGGAUAAUGUUCCCGGAGUCCCGGCAGAAUUUGAGCUCUGCCGGGUCAGCUCUACCCGGGAGGUGGUCCCGUUGGCCGACCAGUGUCCUCUGGACAUCAGAAACCGGAGAGAACUCAACCGGUCCAAUUUAUAUCUUCGACCCAAGAAUACCGACAGUCAACAACCACCAAGAGAGCGCCCAGUCAGUCCCCAGCAGGGAUAGGUAGACCAGCCCGGGGUGCCAUCAAGGUAAAUAAUUGUCAUUCUACCACUCAACACAUGCAUUGUUCACAUGCCCAACCAUCAGCAUUACUUAUCCAGGAUGAAUUUAUCCUGGGUUAAUAUCAUACGGCUAACAAUUUUCAAUUACAA